AGAGUUUGAUCAUGGCUCAGGAUGAACGCUAGCGGCAGGCUUAACACAUGCAAGUCGAGGGGCAGCGGGGAGUAGCAACACUCUGCCGGCGACCGGCGCAAGGGUGCGUAACGCGUGAGCAACUUGCCCGUGUCAGGGGGAUAACCGGUGGAAACGCCGACUAAUACCCCAUAACACAGGGGACCGCAUGAUCCUCUGUUGAAAGAACUUCGGACACGGAUGGGCUCGCGUGACAUUAGGUAGUUGGUGAGGUAACGGCCCACCAAGCCGACGAUGUCUAGGGGAACUGAGAGGUUGGUCCCCCACACUGGAACUGAGACACGGUCCAGACUCCUACGGGAGGCAGCAGUGAGGAAUAUUGGUCAAUGGACGCAAGUCUGAACCAGCCAUGCCGCGUGAAGGAAUAAGGCCCUAUGGGUCGUAAACUUCUUUUGUAUGUGAGCAAUAAGGUCCACGUGUGGUCCGAUGAGAGUAGCAUACGAAUAAGCAUCGGCUAACUCCGUGCCAGCAGCCGCGGUAAUACGGAGGAUGCAAGCGUUAUCCGGAUUCAUUGGGUUUAAAGGGUGCGUAGGCGGCUUGGUAAGUCAGCGGUGAAAUUCCAGUGCUCAACAUUGGCCGUGCCGUUGAUACUGCUGGGCUUGAAUGCGGAUGCCGUGGGAGGAAUGUGUGGUGUAGCGGUGAAAUGCAUAGAUAUCACACAGAACACCGAUUGCGAAGGCAUCUCACGAAUCCGCAAUUGACGCUGAGGCACGAAAGUGUGGGGAUCAAACAGGAUUAGAUACCCUGGUAGU
rnacentral:rRNA from 1 species